rnacentral:rRNA from 1 species
GAUGAACGCUAGCGGGAGGCUUAAUACAUGCAAGUCGAGCGGCAAGGUCUUCGGACCCUAGAGCGGCGCACGGGUGAGUAACGCGUACGCAAUCUGCCCUUCAGUGAGGAAUAGCCCUGGGAAACUGGGAUUAAUACCUCAUAAUAUUAUUUAAUCGCAUGGUUAGAUAAUUAAAGUUCUGGCGCUGAAGGAUGAGCGUGCGUCUGAUUAGCUAGUUGGUAGGGUAACGGCCGACCAAGGCUACGAUCAGUAGGGGGCGUGAGAGCGUGACCCCCCACACGGGUACUGAGACACGGACCCGACUCCUACGGGAGGCAGCAGUAAGGAAUAUUGGGCAAUGGAGGCAACUCUGACCCAGCCAUCCCGCGGGAAGGAUUAAGGCCCUAUGGGUUGUAAACUUCUUUUGUUUGGGAAGAAAUCUGGACAUUUAUGUGCAGUUGACGGUACCUUACGAAUAAGCACCGGCUAACUCCGUGCCAGCCGCCGCCGUAACAC